rnacentral:rRNA from 1 species
UCAAGUAAUUAAGUGCAUGUGGUGGAUGCCUUGGCAGUCAGAGGCGAUGAAAGACGUGAUAGCCUGCGAAAAGCUCCGGGGAGGCGGCAAAUAUCCUUUGAUCCGGAGAUGUCUGAAUGGGGGAACCCACCUACUUUAAGGUAGGUAUUGCAACAUGAAUACAUAGUGUUGCAAGGCGAACGAGGGGAAGUGAAACAUCUCAGUACCCUUAGGAAAAGAAAUCAAUUGAGAUUCCCUCAGUAGCGGCGAGCGAACGGGGAUCAGCCCAUUAAGUUAUGUGUGUUUUAGUGGAACGCUCUGGGAAGUGCGAACGUAGAGGGUGAUAUUCCCGUACACGAAAGGGCACACAUAAUGAUGACGAGUAGGGCGAGGCACGUGAAACCUUGUCUGAAUAUGGGGGGACCAUCCUCCAAGGCUAAAUACUCCUGACUGACCGAUAGUGAACCAGUACCGUGAGGGAAAGGCGAAAAGAACCCCUGUGAGGGGAGUGAAAUAGAUCCUGAAACCGCAUGCAUACAAGCAGUGGGAGCACCUUCGUGGUGUGACUGCGUACCUUUUGUAUAAUGGGUCAGCGACUUAUAUUCAGUAGCGAGGUUAACCGUAUAGGGGAGCCGUAGAGAAAUCGAGUCUUAAUAGGGCGUUUAGUUGCUGGGUAUAGACCCGAAACCAGGCGAUCUAUCCAUGAGCAGGUUGAAGGUUGGGUAACACUAACUGGAGGACCGAACCCACUGUCGUUGAAAAGCCAGGGGAUGACUUGUGGAUAGGGGUGAAAGGCUAAUCAAGCCUGGUGAUAGCUGGUUCUCCCCGAAAGCUAUUUAGGUAGCGCCUCGGACGAAUACCAUAGGGGGUAGAGCACUGUUUCGGCUAGGGGGUCAUCCCGACUUACCAAACCGAUGCAAACUCCGAAUACCUAUGAGUACUAUCCGGGAGACAGACUGCGGGUGCUAACGUCCGUAGUCAAGAGGAAAACAAUCCAGACCGCCAGCUAAGGCCCCAAAAUCAUAGUUAAGUGGGAAACGAUGUGGGAAGGCAUAGACAGCUAGGAGGUUGGCUUAGAAGCAGCCACCCUUUAAAGAAAGCGUAAUAGCUCACUAGUCGAGUCGGCCUGCGCGGAAGAUGUAACGGGGCUAAAACUAUGUGCCGAAGCUGCGGAUGUAUACUUUGUAUACGUGGUAGGGGAGCGUUCUGUAAGCCGAUGAAGGUGUGUUGAGAAGCAUGCUGGAGGUAUCAGAAGUGCGAAUGCUGACGUGAGUAACGACAAAACGGGUGAAAAACCCGUUCGCCGAAAGACCAAGGGUUCCAGUCCAACGUUAAUCGGGGCUGGGUGAGUCGACCCCUAAGGCGAGGCCGAAAGGCGUAGUCGAUGGGAAAAUGGUUAAUAUUCCAUUACUUCUGUGUAAUGCGAUGAGAGGACGGAGAAGGCUAAAUCAGCCUGGCGUUGGUUGUCCAGGUGAAAGGAUGUAGGCAUGUAUCUUAGGCAAAUCCGGGGUACUCUAUGCUGAGAUCUGAUAGCAAGCUGUACUUGUACAGCGAAGUGGUUGAUGCCAUGCUUCCAGGAAAAGUCUCUAAGCUUCAGUUACACAGGAAUCGUACCCGAAACCGACACAGGUGGUCAGGUCGAGUAGACCAAGGCGCUUGAGAGAACUCUGCUGAAGGAACUAGGCAAAAUGGUACCGUAACUUCGGGAGAAGGUACGCUGUUGUUGGUGAUGGAACUCGCUUCCUGAGCUGACGACAGCCGCAGAAACCAGGCCGCUGCAACUGUUUAUUAAAAACAUAGCACUCUGCAAACACGAAAGUGGACGUAUAGGGUGUGAUGCCUGCCCGGUGCUGGAAGGUUAAUUGAUGGGGUUAGCGUAAGCGAAGCUCUUGAUCGAAGCCCCAGUAAACGGCGGCCGUAACUAUAACGGUCCUAAGGUAGCGAAAUUCCUUGUCGGGUAAGUUCCGACCUGCACGAAUGGCAUAAUGAUGGCGGCGCUGUCUCCAGCAGAGGCUCAGUGAAAUCGAAAUCGCUGUGAAGAUGCAGUGUACCCGCGGCUAGACGGAAAGACCCCGUGAACCUUUACUGCAGCUUGACACUGAACUUUGACCUUACUUGUGUAGGAUAGGUGGGAGGCUUUGAAGCUGGAACGCUAGUUCCAGUGGAGCCGUCCUUGAAAUACCACCCUGGUAAUGUUGAGGUUCUAACUCUGUCCCGUGAUCCGGGACGAGGACCGUGUCUGGUGGGUAGUUUGACUGGGGCGGUCUCCUCCUAAAGAGUAACGGAGGAGUACGAAGGUGCGCUCAGCGUGGUCGGAAAUCACGCGUAGAGUAUAAAGGCAAAAGCGCGCUUAACUGCGAGACCCACAAGUCGAGCAGGUACGAAAGUAGGUCUUAGUGAUCCGGUGGUUCUGUAUGGAAGGGCCAUCGCUCAACGGAUAAAAGGUACUCUGGGGAUAACAGGCUGAUACCGCCCAAGAGUUCAUAUCGACGGCGGUGUUUGGCACCUCGAUGUCGGCUCAUCUCAUCCUGGGGCUGAAGCAGGUCCCAAGGGUAUGGCUGUUCGCCAUUUAAAGAGGUACGCGAGCUGGGUUUAGAACGUCGUGAGACAGUUCGGUCCCUAUCUACCGUGGGCGCUGGAAAUUUGAGAGGAUCUGCUCCUAGUACGAGAGGACCAGAGUGGACGAACCUCUGGUGUACCGGUUGUGACGCCAGUCGCAUCGCCGGGUAGCUAUGUUCGGAAGGGAUAACCGCUGAAAGCAUCUAAGCGGGAAGCCUACCUCAAGAUAAGAUUUCCCUAGGACUUUAUGUCCUCUAAAGAGCCGUUCGAGACUAGGACGUUGAUAGGUUGGAUGUGGAGGCAUAGUGAUAUGUGAAGCUGACCAAUACUAAUUGCUCGUGAGGCUUGACUAU